GGAUUAGAUACCCUGGUAGUCCAUGCCGUAAACGUUGGGCACUAGGUGUGGGGGACAUUCCACGUUUUCCGCGCCGUAGCUAACGCAUUAAGUGCCCCGCCUGGGGAGUACGGCCGCAAGGCUAAAACUCAAAGGAAUUGACGGGGGCCCGCACAAGCGGCGGAGCAUGCGGAUUAAUUCGAUGCAACGCGAAGAACCUUACCAAGGCUUGACAUGCAUUAGAUCGCGUCAGAGAUGGCGUUUCCCUUCGGGGCUGGUGUACAGGUGGUGCAUGGUUGUCGUCAGCUCGUGUCG
rnacentral:rRNA from 1 species